rnacentral:rRNA from 1 species
UACUCCCCAGGCGGGGUACUUAUUGCGUUAACUCCGGCACAGAAGGGGUCGAUACCUCCUACACCUAGUACCCAUCGUUUACGGCCAGGAUUACCGGGGUAUCUAAUCCCGUUCACUCCCCUGGCUUUCGCGCCUCAGCGUCAGACACAGUCCAGAAAGUCGCCUUCGCCACUGGUGUUCCUCCUAAUAUCUACGCAUUUCACCGCUACACUAGGAAUUCCACUUUCCUCUCCUGCACUCAAGAAAUGUAGUUUCCAUCCCAUCACGGGGUUGAGCCCCGAACUUUUAAGACAGACUUACAUUCCCGCCUGCGCGCGCUUUACGCCCAAUAAUUCCGGACAACGCUUGCCACCUACGUAUUACCGCGGCUGCUGGCACGUAGUUAGCCGUGGCUUCCUCCUCAGGUACCGUCAUUACUUAACAUUAUUCACAUUAAGCACAUUCGUCCCUGAAGACAGAGCUUUACGAUCCGAAAACCUUCUUCACUCACGCGGCGUUGCUCCGUCAGACUUUUCG